rnacentral:rRNA from 1 species
GCCCGGGGCUUAACCUCGGGUCUGCAGUCGAUACGCGCAGGCUAGAGUUCGGUAGGGGAGAUCGGAAUUCCUGGUGUAGCGGUGAAAUGCGCAGAUAUCAGGAGGAACACCGGUGGCGAAGGCGGAUCUCUGGGCCGAUACUGACGCUGAGGAGCGAAAGCGUGGGGAGCGACACAGGAUAUUGAUAUCCCCCUGUGUUGUCACUCGCGUGUAAACGCGUGUGGCGCCUAUAGUGUGUGGCGCACACAUUCCCACGUUGUCCUGUGGCCGCAGCUAACGCCAUUAAGUGUCCCCGCCCUUGGGGGAGUACGGCCGCAAGGCUAAAACUCAAGGGAUUUGAGGGGGGCCCGCCCAAGCGGCGGAGCAUGUGGCUUAUUUCGACCGCAACGGGAAGAACCUUAACCAAGGCCUUGACAUACACCGGAAAAGCCCUGGAGACAGGGUCCCCCUUGUGGUCCGGUGUCCAGGUGGUGCCAUGGCUGUCUUCAGCUCGUUUCGUGAGAUGUUGGGUUAAGUCCCGCAACGAGCGCAACCCUUGUCCCCGUGUUGCCAGCAGGCCCUUGUGGUGCUGGGGACUCACGGGAGACCGCCGGGGUCAACUCGGAGGUAGGUGGGGAGGACGUCAAGUCUUCAUGCCCCUUAUGUCUUGGGCUGCACACGUGCUACAAUGGCCGGUACAAUGAGCUGCGAUACCGCGAGGUGGAGCGAAUCUCAAAAAGCCGGUCUCAGUUCGGAUUGGGGUCUGCAACUCGACCCCAUGAAGUCGGAGUCGCUAGUAAUCGCAGAUCAGCAUUGCUGCGGUGAAUACGUUCCCGGGCCUUGUACACACCGCCCGUCACGUCGCGAAAGUCGGUAACACCCGAAGCCGGUGGC